GAUGUCGACUUGGAGGUUGUGCCCUUGAGGCGUGGCUUCCGGAGCUAACGCGUUAAGUCGACCGCCUGGGGAGUACGGCCGCAAGGUUAAAACUCAAAUGAAUUGACGGGGGCCCGCACAAGCGGUGGAGCAUGUGGUUUAAUUCGAUGCAACGCGAAGAACCUUACCUGGUCUUGACAUCCACGGAAGUUUUCAGAGAUGAGAAUGUGCCUUCGGGAACCGUGAGACAGGUGCUGCAUGGCUGUCGUCAGCUCGUGUUGUGAAAUGUUGGGUUAAGUCCCGCAACGAGCGCAACCCUUAUCCUUUGUUGCCAGCGGUCCGGCCGGGAACUCAAAGGAGACUGCCAGUGAUAAACUGGAGGAAGGUGGGGAUGACGUCAAGUCAUCAUGGCCCUUACGACCAGGGCUACACACGUGCUACAAUGGCGCAUACAAAGAGAAGCGACCUCGCGAGAGCAAGCGGACCUCAUAAAGUGCGUCGUAGUCCGGAUUGGAGUCUGCAACUCGACUCCAUGAAGUCGGAAUCGCUAGUAAUCGUGGAUCAGAAUGCCACGGUGAAUACGUUCCCGGGCCUUGUACACACCGCCCGUCACACCAUGGGAGUGGGUUGCAAAAGAAGUAGGUAGCUUAACCUUCGGGAGGGCGCUUACCACUUUGUGAUUCAUGACUGGGGUGAAGUCGUAACAAGGUAACCGUAGGGGAACCUGCGGUUGGAUCACCUCCUUACCUUAAAGAAGC
rnacentral:rRNA from 2 species